AUAGGUUAGCUCUCGAGAUUUUGGACCUCUGACACAUGCUUUGCCCACAUGCGAUGUGCAUGUUGACUUAGCAAGUGCCAGAAGUUAUUUUUCAACUCUUCUUCAACUCCUGCACAUGUUUUGGUCAUGAACCAGUCGAGAAGUGUCACGAACACCCAAUAUUGAUCACAUAAGUAGCCAAAAACACCUUUUUCCUUUUUUUCACGAACUUAGCUUCCAAAAUCUAAUUUCCUGCAAAACAUACCCAAAAUACAUCAUAUCUAAUAAAAUAUCUCAGAAACUUGCAUAUUUUCAUAUUUUAAGCGUCGAAAGUGGUAUGUUUCUAUAGUACAUCAGUCGACCCUAGUUUUAACUUAGCCCAAAACUAAAUUGGUAAGGAAACUUCCUACUAUAACUUUGUGCUAGAGUUAUUGUAUGACCUUAAUUCAUAACUAAUGCAUUUUCAUUCCAAGGAAUUGAUCCGAAUACCUAUGACGAAUAAGAUUCAUAUGCUUCUACUACAAAUAUUUUCAGUAAUAAUUGAAUAGAUCGUUACAAAAAUCGACGAUAUCAAGAAAAAUUAAGUCAAACCACGUGUCAUAGCGCAACAAGGUCACAACAUAGAAUCGAUACACCUGAUUCACCACUAAGAAAUCACACACGAAGGUAGAAACAUGUAUAGGCAUAAAAAAAGAAUCACACUCAUAUCAAGAUCUGAUGCAAAAUAUGCAGAUAAAUAGGAAAAAACCAAACUAGGGCCAAACAAAACAGUAGCAGGUCAAUGACAUAUUGGGAAUAUAACCGUGAGAGUUGCAUUAGAGGCCUCUACCUCUGAUAUACUUGUGAAUGAAUGACAAUGUGAACAAUCAUCCUCUGCCCCGGAUAACUCCUCUACCACCACCUUGACAGUCUGUGGCACACCUCUAUCUACCUGUGAACCACCAUCACUCAUAGUUAACUGUACAGCUGCCCUAAUGGGUAGCUGAAAACUCUGAUGCUGCCCCCGCCCUAAGUCUGGGGCAAUCCCUCCUAACACGUCCUAAGAUAAAUUUAUAUUGUCUGCCGAAUGUAGUAUUGAUUUUAUUUUAGGCUUAAUCUUAGGACAUUCUACCUUAUCUUAUUCACCUUGGGAUUAUUUUAUCCCAUCUUGAUAUUGGGAUAAAUUAGUCAGGAAAUUACGAUCUCCGAAUAAUUUAAUCCACAUAUCAAAUAAUCCUAUGUCUUUAUAACUACACCAAUAUUGCGACUGUAUCUCAAGUUCCAAAAAAUCUUCUCUUUAAAACUAGGUGGCUGCAGAUUUAAUUUCAGUGAAAAGAAUGGAAUAAUGAUUAGGAAAUCAGGAACUUGUAGAAAAUUUCAAGAAAUUUGGGCAGAUUAUAAGAUGUCCCCAGCUAAAUAAGAACGAAAUAUAUUAGAGCUAAACGAGAAAGUCAAGAACCACAUAAACAAAAUCGCACCUUAUCCAAAUAUAGAGAUUGGGAGCGAAAGAGAAUCAAAGAGAAGCUGCAUCUCAUCCCUUAGCUGACUAGUAAUUAUGGGGAAACAAACGAGAUGAGCCUUUCUUCUUUUCUUCUUCUUCUUCCUUCUCCUCCCACUUACAAACUUU
rnacentral:lncRNA from 1 species